AGCAGUGUUUUGGGAAUCUUUGACAUUUUAUGAAGAUGGCAAUGAACACCUUGAUUCCACCAAAGAUCCAGAAAUAGGUUGUUUAUUGUUCAGUGUAAACGUUUCAACUCCAAUCUUG